rnacentral:rRNA from 1 species
UACAGAGGUGGCAAGCGUUGUUCGGAUUUACUGGGUGUAAAGGGUACGUAGGCGGUAUGGAAAGUCGGAUGUGAAAUCCUAUGGCUCAACCAUAGAAUGGCAUCCGAAACUUCCGUGCUAGAGUGUGGGAGAGGAAGAUGGAAUUCCCGGUGUAAGGGUGAAAUCUGUAGAUAUCGGGAGGAACACCAGUGGCGAAGGCGAUCUUCUGGCCCAUUACUGACGCUCAGUGUACGAAAGCAGGGGGAGCAAACGGG